rnacentral:lncRNA from 1 species
GCUAGAGGAAGGGGCUGUGUCUUCGCAGUACCCUUAUUCUUGAAGGAGUGCUCAACGAGAUUGCCUCCAGUCAUCUUCUCCGACGUCCUCCUCUCCUUUCCCUACUAGAUCUUCACCUGAUGCCUCCCCGAAAGGCAUCUACUGGGUGAUCCACGGCCUCCGCGGUUAGAUCUCAGGCUCCGGCCUCGUCUCCAGCUUCCUAGGCUCUCCCUCCUCCGGCAACGGCGGUCGACGGAUUCAAUCAAUGCCAACCUGAAAGUAGGGAAGAUCGGCCAAAGGCCCUGCUGCAACCGAAGCCACGAAGGAGGGAAAAACUUUGUGAAGAUCAGCCUCUGACUAAGAUCUUCAACACCCUUUCUGGGGGGCCCCCGAGAGGAGCGGCCGAUAGAUCGACCGGGCCGCUCAAGCGGCAA